ensembl:lncRNA
CCUGUCAACUUCAGAUCCCCCUGGGAGGCUUCAAUGUAGGUCGUGUUCACUUUGCUGCUCGCUGUGUUGAAACAGUUCGACAGUUGGGGUCACAGGCUAUCUUUUCCCUGAAUAUUCAUAAUAUCCCUUCCACAGCGAAUGGAUGAAAAACACAUCUGAAGGAACUCGAGACGAGAGGGCUCAGCAAGCUUCCAAAACGCCUCAGCGAAGCCCAAGGACUGACAGGAAAGAAGCAGCGAACAGCUGACCCGGGCUGCGUGGACUUGGGGACUCAGGGCGUGGGGAGCGUGGAUGUGGGAACACUGGUGGGAGUGGGGCUAGACCCGAGGUCGCAGAGCAUGGGGGUGUGGCCCUGGGGGGCGUGGACGUGGGAGCGCAGGGCGUGGGGGGCGUGAACGUAAGGUUGUAGAGCGUGGGGGGCGUGGACGUGGGAGCGCAGGGCGUGGGAGCGCAGGGCGUGGGGGCGUGGGCGUGUGGGGCGUGGACGCAGGGAACAGAGGGCGUGAGAGAUGUGGAUGCGAUUCCACAGGGCAUGGGAAACGAGGGGGCGUGGGGAACCGGGGGUGCGGUGCGCAGGCAGCCAGGGGAGGCCGGGAAUCCCGAUUUAGAAAGGUGCCCAGUGGUUCCUGUGCACAGGUACAACUAGGCUCCAGGCCUCCAAACAUCACAAGGUCCCCAGGCCUGUGCAGACCCAGCUGAGGGGUCAGUGGUCCUAUCCAGGCUCAAUCGUCUCAGCCCAAACUAGGCAGCUGAGACCGCGAAGGCCUGGAAAACUUGGGGAAAACCGCUUACUGUUGAGACUGCAGGCCGCUUGGAGGACAAGACUUCUUAAAACGACCUUGAUUGAUAAAGAUCAGAUGCCUCAGUGACCUGCAACCAGAGAUUUAUACAUUGUGAAAAAGACAUAUUUCAAAGGACCAUCACCAACCUGGACAGAGUAUAAUGGAGAAGGGUUAAUUUUAAAUUUACACUGGAUCUGCUUCUGUGACUUUAUCCCUUUUUUGUUAUUAUAAACAUUCAUAAUGGCCUGCCUGAGGGAGAUAACCUGAGCAACCCACCUGUGAAGGACUGUAAGGCUUGCCAUUCUAGGGACAUUUGCAAGGAUUGAAUAGUUUUUACUUUAUUUCCUCACCUUCCACCCCACCCCACCCCCAUCUCUGAUCCAGAAAAGAACCCGGCAACCAGGCCUUAACAAGAUGGUUAUUUUGAGGCACUAGCCUGCCAUUGUCUUUGAUCAGCUUUCUUUGAAUAAAGUCUCUUCUUGCCUCAUCCCCUCAUCUCACAGAUUCAUCGGCCUGUCAUAUGGUGAACAGAGCGAGCCUGGACUCCUAACAACUUGGCUUAGCCAGCCAGGAGCCUCACUGCUGGUGGCUAGCC